rnacentral:rRNA from 1 species
GAACGCUGGCGGCGUGCCUAAUACAUGCAAGUCGAGCGAACAGACGAGGAGCUUGCUCCUCUGACGUUAGCGGCGGACGGGUGAGUAACACGUGGAUAACCUACCUAUAAGACUGGGAUAACUUCGGGAAACCGGAGCUAAUACCGGAUAAUAUAUUGAACCGCAUGGUUCAAUAGUGAAAGACGGUUUUGCUGUCACUUAUAGAUGGAUCCGCGCCGCAUUAGCUAGUUGGUAAGGUAACGGCUUACCAAGGCGACGAUGCGUAGCCGACCUGAGAGGGUGAUCGGCCACACUGGAACUGAGACACGGUCCAGACUCCUACGGGAGGCAGCAGUAGGGAAUCUUCCGCAAUGGGCGAAAGCUUGACGGAGCAACGCCGCGUGAGUGAUGAAGGUCUUCGGAUCGUAAAACUCUGUUAUUAGGGAAGAACAAAUGUGUAAGUAACUAUGCACGUCUUGACGGUACCUAAUCAGAAAGCCACGGCUAACUACGUG